CUGAGCUCUAUACACACAGACGUCGAGCAACCAGCAGAGAAAGCAAAGAUUUCUGAGAGAAUCCCACAUAGAGUGGCUGCUAUAAUAGCAUGGCUGUUUAAAGCUGGAUUGCUCUGCGUCUUCUCUCGGCGCCUGCCUGGAAUGAGCUCCUUCGUCAGGGGUUAAGGCUGCAGUGAGUUUGGCAAUGAGCUGAAAACCUUG
rnacentral:lncRNA from 1 species